rnacentral:rRNA from 1 species
GAAUUUAAGCAUAUAAUUAAGCGGAGGAAAAGAAACUAACCAGGAUUCCCCUAGUAACGGCGAGUGAAGCGGGACGCGCUCAGGAUGUGAAUCUGCGCUUUUGCGCCGAGUUGUGGUCUGUCGACGGUGACGCUACCAGCCGGGCCAAGUUCCUUGGAAAAGGACAGCUGAGAGGGUGAGACUCCCGUCCGCCCGGCAGGGUGAGUUGCCAGUCAACGAGUCGAGUUGUUUGGGAUUGCAGCUCUAAGUGGGUGGUAAAUUCCAUCUAAAGCUAAAUAUUGGUGGGAGACCGAUAGCGUACAAGUACCGUGAGGGAAAGAUGCAAAGAACUUUGAAAAGAGAGUUAAAGAGUACCUGAAAUUGCUGAAAGGGAAGCGAAGGAAACCAGUGUUUGCCUGGUCAUAUUUCCCUGGCCGCUUGCGGCUUGGGCGCUGUGUCCGGCUUGAGUUGUGCUUGGUUAUCGCCCUUGGAAGACGCGAAGGGAGUUGACCUUCGUUGCUAGCAUUGGGCCUUGACUGAGCAGGACGAAAUGGUUUUCUUUACCCCGUCUUGAAACACGGACCAAGGAGUCUAACAUAUGUGCGAGUACAGGGGUGGCAAACCCCAGUGCGCAAUGAAAGUGACAGUGGUUGGAUCUUUGCACAAUCCGCCGGCCUCAAUCCCUCGGGAGAACGGUCUGAGUGUGAGCAUACAUGUUGGGACCCGAAAGAUGGUGAACUAUGCCUGAAUAGGGUGAAGCCAGGGGAAACUCUGGUGGAGGCUCGUAGCGAUUCUGACGUGCAAAUCGAUCGUCAAAUUUGGG